UACGGAGGGUGCAAGCGUUAAUCGGAAUUACUGGGCGUAAAGCGUGCGUAGGCGGUUGUUUAAGUCAGAUGUGAAAGCCCCGGGCUUAACCUGGGAACUGCAUUUGAUACUGGACGACUAGAGUUUAGUAGAGGGGAGUGGAAUUUCAGGUGUAGCGGUGAAAUGCGUAGAGAUCUGAAGGAACACCAGUGGCGAAGGCGGCUCCCUGGACUAAAACUGACGCUGAGGUACGAAAGCGUGGGUAG
rnacentral:rRNA from 1 species